GAUGAACGCUGGCGGCGUGCUUAACACAUGCAAGUCGAACGGGAAACCUUUUAUUGAAGCUUCGGCAGAUUUAGCUGGUUUCUAGUGGCGGACGGGUGAGUAACGCGUGGGUACCCUGCCUUAUACAGGGGGAUAACAACCAGAAAUGGUUGCUAAUACCGCAUAAGCGCACAGGACCGCAUGGUCCGGUGUGAAAAACUCCGGUGGUAUAAGAUGGACCCGCGUUGGAUUAGCUAGUUGGCAGGGUAACGGCCUACCAAGGCGACGAUCCAUAGCCGGCCUGAGAGGGUGAACGGCCACAUUGGGACUGAGACACGGCCCAGACUCCUACGGGAGGAAGCAGUGGGGAAUAUUGCACAAUGGGGGAAACCCUGAUGCAGCGACGCCGCGUGAAGGAAGAAGUAUCUCGGUAUGUAAACUUCUAUCAGCAGGGAAGAUAGUGACGGUACCUGACUAAGAAGCCCCGGCUAACUACGUG
rnacentral:rRNA from 1 species